AUGUGUUGUGUAAAACGCACGUUUUGGGCGCCAGCAUUGCUUUUACCGAUCGCGACGUAAAUGCGCGCUCAUAUCCGCAGGAAAUUCGCACAAUCGCACAAUUUGUCGCGGGGAUUUUCGCCAUGGACCAAGAAUGUGUCGAUUUUAGCAAUAAAAUUUGCAUUUUUAUUUUAAUCAAAUGAGAAAUGCUAAUAAUGCACUUUAACGCCAUCUAGAAUUCAAUUAUUUGACUAUAUCUAUGAUUAAAUCUCUAUAUCAAU